rnacentral:rRNA from 1 species
AGUGAACGCUGGCGGUAGGCCUAACACAUGCAAGUCGAACGGCAGCACAGUAAGAGCUUGCUCUUACGGGUGGCGAGUGGCGGACGGGUGAGGAAUACAUCGGAAUCUACUUUUUCGUGGGGGAUAACGUAGGGAAACUUACGCUAAUAUCGCAUACGACCUACGGGUGAAAGCAGGGGAUCUUCGGACCUUGCGCGAUUGAAUGAGCCGAUGUCGGAUUAGCUAGUUGGCGGGGUAAAGGCCCACCAAGGCGACGAUCCGUAGCUGGUCUGAGAGGAUGAUCGGCCACACUGGAGCGGAGACACGGUCCAGACUCCUACGGGAGGCAGCAGUGGGGAAUAUUGGACAAUGGGCGCAAGCCUGAUCCAGCCAUACCGCGUGGGUGAAGAAGGCCUUCGGGUUGUAAAGCCCUUUUGUUGGGAAAGAAAAGCAGCAGAUUAAUACCCCGCUGUUCUGACGGUACCCAAAGAAUAAGCACCGGCUAACUUCGUG